rnacentral:rRNA from 1 species
AGCGGCGGACGGGUGAGUAACGCGUGGGUAACCUGCCUCAUACAGGGGGAUAACAGUUAGAAAUGACUGCUAAUACCGCAUAAGACCACAGCACCGCAUGGUGCGGGGGUAAAAACUCCGGUGGUAUGAGAUGGACCCGCGUCUGAUUAGCUGGUUGGUAAGGUAACGGCUUACCAAGGCGACGAUCAGUAGCCGACCUGAGAAGGUGACCGGCCACAUUGGGACUGAGACACGGCCCAA